GCGUCAGUAGUGUAAACGGAUAGAGCAAGCACUCCCGGAUAGAGUGAAGUGCGGGUUCUAGUCCCGCCUGACGCG